AGCUCGCCGGCUGUCACGCAUUUAACAAAGUGAUAUGGCAUUCACUUUUGAAUCCGAUUCCCAGUCUGCCAUCCUUAAAUCGGCCCCUCCACAUUCGACCUAGAUAUACAAAAAUACCAAUUAAUUGAGGUCCCCUUCCUCAUCCCUUUCCAAUACCCCGCACCCCAAUGCCGACUCCAAUCCCCAUCCAAGCCUUCGCCCAAGCCCAAACAGAACUCCUUCUCGCAGAACAUGAAGCCGAAAUUGCCUCCUCACCGCUCUCUGCAUCAAUUGCACAAUCAGAUGGUAUUUCCGCUUCAACACGUCGCACAUUGCAAGCCGCAGGCUAUGCACUCAUAGGCCUUGUUCUCAUCAAUUGUCGGACGGGAAUGGGUGGACGUGAG
rnacentral:sRNA from 2 species